UAGGCCUCUUGUUCUACUGAACUGGUACAGUAGGUGCUGGUCUGCAGUAUGAAAUUAGGGGUCUGAGAUUCCCCACUGCUAGAGGAAAGAUGCGAAAAUUCUUCUCCACUAGUUAUGCCUUAGCUAGAAUGGCUGAAUAGGUACUAAGCUCAAAUAUAUAAAGUUGCUGUCUGAUCUCAAGGCGGAGGCCCCACUUGAACUUCCU
rnacentral:lncRNA from 1 species